rnacentral:rRNA from 1 species
UGGGGAAUAUUGCGCAAUGGGGGAAACCCUGACGCAGCGACGCCGCGUGCGGGAUGAAGGCCUUCGGGUUGUAAACCGCUUUUGAUUGGGAGCAAGCUUUCGGGUGAGUGUACCUUUCGAAUAAGCGCCGGCUAACUACGUGCCAGCAGCCGCGGUAAUACGUAGGGCGCAAGCGUUAUCCGGAAUUAUUGGGCGUAAAGAGCUUGUAGGCGGUUCGUCGCGUCUGGUGUGAAAGCCCAUAGCUUAACGGUGGGUUUGCGCCGGGUACGGGCGGGCUAGAGUGCAGUAGGGGAGACUGGAAUUCCCGGUGUAACGGUGGAAUGUGUAGAUAUCGGGAAGAACACCAAUGGCGAAGGCAGGUCUCUGGGCUGUUACUGACGCUGAGAAGCGAAAGCGUGGGGAGCGAACAGG